AAAGUCGUAACAAGGUUUCCGUAGGUGAACCUGCGGAAGGAUCAUUACAGAGUUAUGGCCCCCCUUAUGGGGGUAGACAUGUAGCCCCUAUGUUGUAUUUAACUUUUGUUGCUUUGGCAGGUCGUAAGGCCUUAAAGCUUUCCACUGGCUUCGGCUAGUGUGUACCCGCCAGAGGAACCAAAAACUCUUGAAAAAAUAAAUUAUUGUCAGAGUUACUAUUUACAAUAGUUUAAAACUUUCAACAACGGAUCUCUUGGUUCUG
rnacentral:misc_RNA from 1 species